AGUCACUGACAUUACGAACCCCCGUAGUCCCAGCCGUAAACUAUGCGCGUUAGGUGUAGUCGGGACCACGAGUUACCGAGGUGCCGAAGGGAAACCGUGAAACGUGCCGCCGUGGGAAGUACGGUCGCAAGGCUAGAAACUUAAAGGAAUUGGCGGGGAGCACCACAACGGGUGGAGCCUGCGGUUUAAUUGGACUCAACGCCGGGAAGCUCACCGGAUAAGACAGCGGAAUGAUUGCCGGGCUGAAGACUCUGCAUGACUAGCUG
rnacentral:rRNA from 1 species